rnacentral:lncRNA from 1 species
UCUGACCAAGCGAUCACGUUAGUCGCCUUUUACAACAAGCAUGGGUUGCUGGAGACCAGUUGUACCGGAUUUUCACCGGUGUCGUUUAAGCUGCUCCUGAAGAUACUAUAUAUUGCAGAUAAUAACAUAAUAUUAUACAUACAUAGUGUCAAUAUAAUUGUGUUUUGGAGAAGUUAUGUUUUCACUGAUUGUUUCUAUAUUUCAGUCCGUGUAACCGAUGACGAUGUGAACGGUGUCGGCAAGGCAUUGAUAAGUCUACAAUCCUAUUUUGAGGUUGCUGCACGGCGUCUCUGUGACGUCAUCCCCAUGAUCAUACAGUUGCACGUGUUCCGGGAACAGGUCGAGGAAAUGCGGAUCCUGCUCAUGGACAUUGCUUCGGAUGAAAGAACCAUGGUACACAUCCAGGAAGAUCCAGACAUAGCUUAUAUGAGGAAUGAAUGCAAGUCUCGUCACCAAAGACUGCUUCUGGCGGAAGGAGAACUGGACAAUAUUUAGUGUUGAUCAAUGUCAGUCCUGGCACUUACAUUGUUUCUGCCAUAUAUAUUGUGUUGAAAGUCCAUUUGUACUGUUUUUAGACGGAUAAAGACCCAAUGUCAAUAAAUGAUGACAUUCUGCUUUUUGAAUUGGCGGUUAAAACGACGUCUAACCAUUCAAGUAUGGUGUAUAGAUAAUUUCAUUUUAAGUGGUUACAGAAUAUUUAUUUGAAUCCUACUUAACGUGCUGAAAUUGUUUAUCCCUACAGAAGACAUCCUGUCUAAAGUUUUGCUUAUUGUCGCGGAGUUUGAUACUCUCAUGUGCAGACACAUACACUACUCUGUUUUAUUUAAGAUGUGAUACGUGUUCAGUGAUGCCUAAUGCUGUCAUAUUGCUUAAUAUGUAACCUCAAACAAAACAAUUGCUUACCGUCAACUGUACCAAAAUCAGUUGUUUUCUCGUCUAAGGAUUUUCCAGAAUGAUCUGAGGUCAUGUCUGGCAUUUACAAAUAAUGUGUUUUGAUUAUCAAUAUAUUCUUCUUUGUUCUUUUAAAUGUGUUCUUGAGUUCAUUUCGUAAACUUCUGUAAAUUAUUUAAGUAUGUUAGUUUUCUUAACAUCCAUGUUGAUUCAGAGUUGCAGAUUUGUGUUUUGAAGAUGGAGGACGAUGCGCCUUUGUGAUUAAGAAUUUGUCUGAAACUUCGAUGUAUAGGGUAUCUUACUUGAAACUCCUGACCUUCUGCUCACUUCAUACGUUUCGUUCUUGUCACCUUCUAUACCAUGAAAUACGAGACUGUUUCUCGGGGGUCGACAAUCUAGGUCUCCAUGCCUAUCACACGUGUCCAUUAAUUCUUUUCCUAACCAGGCGGUGGGGUAGUCUAGUUGUUAAAGUGUUCGCUCGUCAUGGGUUCGAUUCCCCAUUUGGGUUUCUGAUGUGUUCUGCCGUGGUAUUGCUGGAAUAUUUGCUAAAUUCGGCAUAGAGCCAUAUUUAAUCAGUCUUUUCGUUACCAUUUGUUUUCAUUUGACAAUCUGUCACACGCUUCGUCUACGUGUGCCGCCAUCUUGUCAAAGUUACUUUCAAUGUGUGUAACACGCUCGUUUGUUCCACUAACCUCUUUUUAAUAUCCAUUAGUACGUUUAUAAUGUUCGUCAGUGCACUUUUCUGCAGCAGUUUCUGGACCCCCAACUAGCUUAGUUUGACGAGUUACAGGAGGACCGGCCUGGUUAGGACCCGGGUCCAGUAGAACAUCACCACAAACUGCCAAGAGGACUGUAAGCAGGACUAAGCCCAGCUUUUGGCAAUUCAGAUACCAUGAGUGUACCCGUGUAUUUGGCUGUGCGAAUGUCCCAAUUCUUGUACGGUAUAAAACUUAAUCUAUCCCCAUUUUCACAAAUCUCGGAGACGUUCAAAAACAUGUCAGCAAUGCCAGAUUUCUUAGCAUGCCCAUAACAAAUAUCAUUGCCAAAAAUCGAUGUGUCGAGCUGUCUUGAAAUAAAAGAUUUUCCUGUUUGUAA